AAAGUUCCUCCUUCGGCGUCGUUUUGGCGCCAAGCCCUAGAGGUAAAACUGCCAUUGCAAUUCGCAAGCAUGGUGUGCGCGUCCAGAAUUUCAGAUUACAGAAAUCAUAUCAGAAUCCAGGGAAAGGACGAAAACUUUGAACUGGACAGAAUGGCAGGGGAAUUCAGCACUGGUUCUGGCAUCCGAUGAUGACAAAAUAUCGAUUGAGGGUUGCGAAUACUACAAACCAAGAGUUGUCAGUGGGGGUAGUUGUCAGUGGGGGUUGAGACCUAAUCCUAAAUUGGAUAGACCACUGAUGAUAUAGGGUGUGCAAUGCAUCACAUGGGAGGUUGCUAUGAUUCUUGGAAUGUAGCAGAUUGCCUGUUGUUGUGUGUCAAACUUUUAGUGGUCGAGGAUUGUCGAUGGAAGAUGCCAAUACACAAGGCUGCAGGCGGGAUAAGAUUGCUCACGGAAUUCCCCAAAGAGUUAUAAUAACUAAGUGUGGAAUCUUUGAGUCCAACACAGUGCGCCGCGCUAACAGUAGAUAUUGGAGAGUAAGGUGUAUAGUUACCGCAAGCAAGAGUGGUGGUGUGGAUGAGCACUCUUUGGGAGUUUUGGAGGUGAAUUCCAUCAGUGUUGGGACUGUCCCCAGGGGACGAGACGCUCAUAUCAUGGACCAGAACUCCCUGGCAGUUGUCGAACUUGAGAUGGCAUUGAGGGCUAUUCUGAAUCGUUAUGCCUGUGACCGUCACAUUAAAACUCCCAUAAAACCGCAAUGCCUGUACAAUCAACAACAGUUCAAAAAUCAUGUUACUGAAACUGCAGGUCAAGACUCAAGAGCACAUAAGCUUCAAGAUUUUGGCACACAAGUGGUCCUUACCGUCGGUUUGAUGCUUGGCAUUUUCCCGCUCAGCUGGCUUCUUAUCUGCCACAGAUUUCAUUCACAGGAUGAUGAUUAGUUUAAUUAAGCUCGACGAUCAUGAAAUUUCAUGUUCAAAUUCAACACAGUUUAGUUUAAUUACCGGCAUUGGCGGGCGUUGUUGGACUGAGCUGUUUAGUGGCACAAUGAGUUUGAAAUCAUCGUCUAUAGGGUCUCCAUAGGGAGUGUCUUGCCACCAAGAUGAGCCUCUUCCAUCAAUCACUCCCUUUCCCUGUACUGUGAUUCCAUUUAGCUUUGUAAAUUCAAGCCAUUGGAACAGACCUUUGCCCCAUGAUUCCGAGUCCGUUGGCGCUACUAUCGUACCAUCCAGCUGAGAAAUUCAUAAUUCACCUCGUCAUUGGUACACUAGACGAAAGACGGAAAUCAUAAUUAAGUGAAUGCUAAUGACAGUCGUUCACACAAUUCGAUAUGGGCCGGAGAAUGAGAUGGGACCCACGAGGAACUGGUAACCGGCUGGAACAAUGAUAUUUGAUGCCUCAACUUUACAAGCAGCGGCCCAUGCAGCUUGGAAUGCCUGCGUCACACCGUAUCAAAACCCCUCUGUCAGAUACUAUACGAAUUACAGUAAGUAAUCUUGAACCGUAGAAAAUGGCGUUAGUUUGUUGUGCACAACCGUAUACAAUUAUUGUUGGAACCGUAACAACCCAACUGCCGUAACGAGAAUAAAAUUUGUUCAGUGGGCCCAUUGGGCCCCACCAAUUAGUGAGAGAAGAUUCUCGUCGGAUCCUUUUGUAAGGAUCCCGGAGAUCCUUCAAUCACAUCUGUUCAUCUUAUAUCGUGAUGUCAGUUUUUGUUAGAUAAUGUUUAUAUUCAAUUUUAAAUAAAAAAAUUUACAAUGGAUUUUAACCGCACUAUGUACGAUAAACGGAUGUGAUUGGAAGAUCUUCAAAAUUCUUCGGCGAGGAUCCUCCUGGAUCUUAGUAAUAUUCUCCUGGUGAGUUUAAUCAUUGUAUUAAAUUGUAAUUAUAAAUAGGUAGAACUUACAAAAAGUAUAAAACCGACCACAAUGCUUCUUCAUAAUUUGGGAAAAAUUACCAUCUAACCCAGAGCAUGUCACGUAAAGUUAUUAACCCUAAAGGGUCACGUGCAAAUGAUUCAAAAAGGCAAAACGUUUGCCAAAAUAACUAUUUUGUUUCUCUCAAUGAUUAAUUGGCUACCUGUCAUCUACGUUACAGCUGGAAUUCCUUGUCAUUUUCAUGGUUAUAUGAUAUCAUGAGCUACAUUCGUAAAUGCAGUGGAAAAUACUUGACUUCUUACAUGUAUUUUCUCGUUCCUCGUUGUUUUGUUAAUAGUCAUUUUAGUAUAUGUGUCAAUUUAUGAUUUGCAGUUAGCGAAAAUUGACUCCAUAACGGUAAGGAGACAUGCAGUGUUCAAACCUAGCAACAUUUCUAAUCAAAGCUCAAAUGUUUUUUCUAUGAAGAUAUUUUAAUUAACCCUUGAUCAUGAUUGAUUAGUCCUUAAUUGGCUAACAUAGUAAAACCAUGAUGAGCUUAAAGGAACUACGAACCUUGGUGUCGUCGGUACUGCCGUCACCCUUAGCACCAAAAUCUAGCACAUUAAAAGUGGAUGAACCUUUCUGUGGAGAACUUGGUGGAGUGUCAUCUAUUGGCUUGGGAACUUGAGGUGGCGAUGGUGCCUUGUUUUGAGGUGGAGAUGGUGCCCUUUUAGGUUUUGAUCCACUACCACUGUGGUGGUGGCUACCCCCGCCGCCGCCAUGGCUACUUUUUCCUUUUUUCUUUGAAAGAGAAGCAGAGGAUGCUCUGUUCUGCCUCCAAUGCCGCCCUCUUCUCCCCAUGCAAGCGUCGAAAUUUGACGACCAAACCAGAAAUGCAAGUACAAGCAUGAAUGCGAUGCUUCUGAAACUGAACGCACUCAUUUCUGCACAAUGUGGGAUUGUGGAUGAGAGAGAGAGAGAGAGAGAGAGAGAGAGAGAGGAGAGAGGAGAGAGAAAGGAAGAGCUAAGAAACAGAGAGAGUGUUGUGUGAGAGGGCUGCUUUAGUUUACAUAGAAAAAAAGAUGUGGUGGCUGUGUUUAUAUAGACAGAGACACAUACAUAAGCUCGUAGGAAUUUAUAAAUUUAUGAAUAUAAUUCUCAUUUUUAUUU